ACCUGGUUGAUCCUGCCAGUAGUCAUAUGCUUGUCUCAAAGAUUAAGCCAUGCAAGUCUAAGUUUAAAUAAUUAACCUUGAAACUGCAGAUGGCUCAUUAAACCAGAUUUAAUUUAUUUGAUGGUGACUUUUUACAUGGAUACCUGUUUAAAAUGAAGAGCUAAUACAUGCGUUAAACUCUGGCCUUUGGUCGGAGGUAUUUAUUAGAUCCGAACCAGCCCCUUUUUGGGUUUUUUGGUGAAUCAUGAUAACUGUUCGAAUCGCCUAUUUUCGGGCGAUAGUUCAUUCAAAAAUCUGCCCUAUCAGCUAUUGACGGUAGUGUAGUGGACUACCGUGGCAUUUACGGGUGACGGGAAAUUAGGGUUUGAUUCCGGAGAGGCAGCCUGAGAAACGGCUACCACAUCUAAGGAUAGCAGCAGGCGCGUAAACUAUCUCCUGAAAUACCUUCGAGAUGGUGACAAGAAAUAUGAUGACUGUGCCCUUUGCGGCAGAGUUUUUCAAAUGAGUGUAAUGUAAAUGCCUAUGCGAGUAUCCAUUGGAGGGCAAGUCUGGUGCCAGCAGCCGCGGUAAUUCCAGCUCCAAUAGCGUAUAUUAAAGUUGUUGCAGUUAAAAAGCUCGUAGUUGGAUAUCUGGCUUUUUAGGUGGACGGCCCGCCUUCGGGUUGAGUGCUGGAAGCCUGAGCCUAUUUUUCGGUUUGCGGUCUUUCCCUUUAUUGUGGCGAGGCGUGCGAUCCGGAUCCGUUACCUUGAAAAAAUCCGAGUGUUCAAAGCAGGCAUUAUUUU
rnacentral:rRNA from 1 species